GGGCCCUGUGGUGUAAUCCGGUAACACGCUUCCUUUGCAAGGAAGAGACGCGGUUCAAAUCCGACAGGGUCCA
rnacentral:tRNA from 1 species